rnacentral:rRNA from 1 species
GACGAACGCUGGCGGCGUGCUUAACACAUGCAAGUCGAACGGACAGGCCCUGCUUUUGUGGGGUGCUCGAGUGGCGAACGGGUGAGUAACACGUGAGUAACCUGCCCUUGACUUUGUGAUAACUUCAGGAAACUGGGGCUAAUACCGGAUAGGAGCUCCUGCUGCAUGGUGGUGGUUGGAAAGUUUCGGCGGUUGGGGAUGGACUCGCGGCUUAUCAGCUUGUUGGUGGGGUAGUGGCUUACCAAGGCUUUGACGGGUAGCCGGCCUGAGAGGGUGACCGGCCACAUUGGGACUGAGAUACGGCCCAGACUCCUACGGGAGGCAGCAGUGGGGAAUAUUGCACAAUGGGCGGAAGCCUGAUGCAGCAACGCCGCGUGCGGGAUGACGGCCUUCGGGUUGUAAACCGCUUUCGCCUGUGACGAAGCGUGAGUGACGGUAAUGGGUAAAGAAGCACCGGCUAACUACGUG